GACGAACGCUGGCGGCGUGCUUAACACACGCAAGUCGAACGGACAGACAGAGAGCUUGCUCUCUUGAAGUUAGUGGCGAACGGGUGAGUAACGCGUAAUCAACCUGCCCUUCAGAGGGGGAUAACAACGGGAAACCGUUGCUAAUACCGCGUACGAUUCAUGAACGGCAUCGUUUAUGAAUGAAAGGUGGCCUCUAUGUAUAAGCUAUCGCUGAAGGAGGGGAUUGCGUCUGAUUAGCUAGUUGGAGGGGUAACGGCCCACCAAGGCAAUGAUCAGUAGCCGGUCUGAGAGGAUGAACGGCCACAUUGGGACAGAGACACGGCCCAAACUCCUACGGGAGGCAGCAGUGGGGAAUCUUCCGCAAUGGACGAAAGUCUGACGGAGCAACGCCGCGUGAGUGAUGAAGGUCUUCGGAUUGUAAAGCUCUGUUAAUCGGGACGAAAGAGUUCUGCGUGAAUAAUGCAGAAAAGUGACGGUACCGGAAUAGAAAGCCACGGCUAACUACGUGCCAGCAGCCGCAGUAA
rnacentral:rRNA from 1 species